AGGGAGCCGCAUUCCACUGGGCCUGGACUCCCUGGGGCAGCAGGAAGCAAACACUGCAGGCGAGACAGGCAGCAAAGCUGUGGACUCUGCAUAAAUAGCCAUAAAAUUGGGCCCUGUGCAGGCGGGUGCAUUCCCCUGCAACCACCCCUGGGCUCAGCAGCGAGUCUGCAAGCAGAGCUGAGCAGUCUGAUUAGCAUUGUGAACCAGAGAAGCUUCUGGUAGAAGAAAGUGGGGGGCCCAGGGUCAUGGCCGUGGGCCACGGCACUUGGCGAUACCUCCUCAGGAUGCAGGGAUUUAGUUCCUCUGGUGCUUUAUCCUGGCCUGGGUGUCUCUGCUUCUGAAAGAGCCCCAGGGCUGCGAUAACCAGGGGGAAGUUGCACAAACCAACUGUGCUGGACAGGAAGCUGCUCAGCAACGCUGUGAUUCUUAAUGUGCUGCUGACACCCCAGGGGUCCACGCAGCAGGCAGCUCAGACCUGCCCUUCUUUGCUAGAAGAUUCUAAAUAUUCCUGGGCUUCCCAGCAGCCCCGCAGAGCCACGAGUAUCUGCAACAGUCCGUGCUUGAGUGCAUCGUGAUCACCUUCAUUGCGAGGAGCUGGUACACGCGCCCGACACCUCCUCAUCCUCUUCACGUUCACUUGCUCUCGCUGAUUCCUCCUGUAAAUACUCUCAUCAUGGCACUAAGGCCACGUCUGCUGUCCUCCCGCUCAUUCUUUCACACGUGCACAAUGGAGCUCUCAGGGUGCAGGCCUGACUGCCACAGCGGAGAGGGGAACACCUGGCUCUCAGAGCAAAGGUGGCCGUGGCCAGCGUGUCUGGAGCACACUGCACCCCAGGCUUGUACUCCAUCACGUCCCGUGGAAGGAAGUGCUGUCACUGUCUUCACUUGAGAAACCUGAGAUCACAUCAGUUCUGCCCAUUACUUGUUCUUGUUAGUGAAGAGUCACUCGCCAGCAUGCUAGUUCCACGUUGGCUUUUCCACACAUCACAGAACGCACUGUGAUCACAUCCACUUCCUGAUUGCUUCUUCCCUUUUCGCCCCAGCCUCCUCCUCUAGCGUAGGUCUCCCUUUUGCUUUCAAGAUUCCAUGCAUUAAAGAAAACAUACGACCUUG